AGGACGGAGAGCAGUAAGCGUGCUGGUUCUUCUUUUGGUCUGUUUAGCAACUUCCCAUGACUUUUGAGCAAGGAACAGGUGUAACCCCUUGCACCCUGAGGUGUGCAGUUGCCUACAUAUGCCUGUGGCCUCAAUGCCAUGUAGAAAUUGUCCCUGGUUCAGCCAAAGCAAAUUCAAAACCAAAAGCAAAUUCACUGACCACGGGGGGAAAGAGUAGGGGACAUUAAACAAGCAGCUCUGCCUGGCCCUCCACUCACAUGGCCAUGAGGCCCGUCAUUCAGCACAUCAUCUCGGCCCCUACUGCGCGCUGGGCACUGUGAGGAGCUUCUGCCUCCUGUCUCCUUCAUGCUCCACUCCUUUCCCCUCCAUAGCUCAGCAAGGCCCACAUUCUCCCGGUGAAGCCACAGAACCACAGGGAGAAAUCCAUGGACUUGGCCUCGCUCUCUAGGGGACCAGAUGUGCAGAGGUAAUGAAUACCAGGGAAUCAGGAAACCACUGGAUCAGUUCUUUGAGCCAUAGAACAACACUCAUCCCAGCAGCUGGGAAGCUAUCUGCAAAAGUCCAUCUGCAGAAAGGGCUUCCUGGUCUUGCGUGUGGCUGGGCCAUUUCUCUGGAUGCAGGUUUUUCAUUAUACAGUCUUCUCAAAGGACCACCUGCUCUCAACACC
rnacentral:antisense_RNA from 1 species